GACGAACGCUGGCGGCGUGCUUAACACAUGCAAGUCGAACGGAAAGGCCCUGCUUUUGUGGGGUGCUCGAGUGGCGAACGGGUGAGUAACACGUGAGUAACCUGCCCUUGACUUUGGGAUAACUUCAGGAAACUGGGGCUAAUACCGGAUAGGAGCUCCUGCUGCAUGGUGGGGGUUGGAAAGUUUCGGCGGUUGGGGAUGGACUCGCGGCUUAUCAGCUUGUUGGUGGGGUAGUGGCUUACCAAGGCUUUGACGGGUAGCCGGCCUGGGAGGGUGACCGGCCACAUGGGGACUGAGAUACGGCCCAGACUCCUACGGGAGGCAGCAGUGGGGAAUAUUGCACAAGGGGCGGAAGCCUGAUGCAGCAACGCCGCGUGCGGGAUGACGGCCUUCGGGUUGUAACCCGCUUUCGCCUGUGACGAAGCGUGAGUGACGGUAAUGGGUAAAGAAGCACCGGCUAACUACGUG
rnacentral:rRNA from 1 species